rnacentral:rRNA from 1 species
GAUGAACGCUGGCGGCGUGCCUAAUACAUGCAAGUCGAGCGAACAGACGAGGAGCUUGCUCCUCUGACGUUAGCGGCGGACGGGUGAGUAACACGUGGAUAACCUACCUAUAAGACUGGGAUAACUUCGGGAAACCGGAGCUAAUACCGGAUAACAUGUUGAACCGCAUGGUUCAACAGUGAAAGACGGUCUUGCUGUCACUUAUAGAUGGAUCCGCGCCGCAUUAGCUAGUUGGUAAGGUAACGGCUUACCAAGGCAACGAUGCGUAGCCGACCUGAGAGGGUGAUCGGCCACACUGGAACUGAGACACGGUCCAGACUCCUACGGGAGGCAGCAGUAGGGAAUCUUCCGCAAUGGGCGAAAGCCUGACGGAGCAACGCCUCGUGAGUGAAGAAGGUCUUCGGAUCGUAAAACUCUGUUAUUAGGGAAGAACAAAUGUGUAAGUAACUAUGCACGUCUUGACGGUACCUAAUCAGAAAGCCACGGCUAACUACGUG